UGUCUCCUCCUCUUAUAUGAAUCCUUUUGUAGACAAGCCUGCUAUGUUGUUUACUCCUCUUGCAAUUUUAGUUUUUUUUGUGCCCGUCGAAGCCAUGGCCUCAAAUCCAGACGGAUCAAAAUUAAUUAUCGUCAUGAAUCAGUGUUGUCUUCCACUACCUCCAUACAUAAGCUGAUGACUCCUUCCAGAGUUAAGACUUAUCCUCCCAGCAGGUUUCCGCCGGCUGACCUACGUGGCUGAGAAGCGUCUCCGGCGAAGCUAUACUCGGUCGAGUUCAAUUUCGAUCCGAUACUUUUGAAAAGGUUAAAAUUAAGUUUCUCUUAUACUUUCAUCUCUUUAGAGUUUUGAUUGGGUACUGUCUGCAAUCUAGAGAUUGAUUUCAGAUUUUUCCCUUUUAAUAGCAACAACGAAAGGUAAAGGGAGCGAAAAGCAUGAACAUACCACAUGGUAAAACUUUUGAUUUUCUUCUGAAUUUUCUAAUAAUGUGAUAAAAUCUCAGUUUUUGGUUUAAGCCAGCGCACAUGGUUUUCAUGGACAGAGAUUAUACGAAGAAGAAAGUUCGAAGCUUAGUAGCUGAGUCUUCGAAGUUUCUGUACGCCAUUCCGGUGACUAAGACAAGAGCAUUCUGUGAGGUUCUCUCUAUUGUCUCUUCUCCCCUGCUAUUAAUAAUUGUAUCACAAACAGUUUGGCUCUGUUUAGCUGGAAUCACUUCAUGUGAUUCACUUGCAGGAGACAUGCCUGGCCUCAAAAGAUGUCAUGUCCUUUGAUUUGCUAAAAAAGAAGCUCAUGUUAAGAUUAGAUACACUUGGUAUAAAGACUAUCAAAGAGGUCAUUGUUAAUUCUCGAAUAAACUACAUGGAUGGUCAUAUAUCCCAGUCGGUGGUUCCUUGCCACACACUAAACAAAAGAAUCUUGCCCUUUGGUGUUGCAGCUAGAAUGGUACAUCCCUCAACAGUUAUAGCAGGUUAUUCAGUUGUGGCCUCUUUGUUUGAAGAUCCAGAUUACGCAUCAGACAUAUAGGAUAUACUAAAACAUGAUAUUACUUCCUUCACCAAACACAUCAACAUCAAUAUUUCAACACAAGGUGAUCUCUCCUUGACCAACUGAGUUUAUAGCUUUCGGAAAAUUAUAAAACAUUUUAUGAACUUCCCUUUUUUGGGUACCUUGGAUAAUUUACGGCAACAAGAAAGGAAACGAGAAAGAGCAUUAUUUCUCUUCGACGUUGCACACAUGCUUCAUCUUAGGCUUUAGAAGCUUCUUCCACAUUUUCUUCUGCCUUCCAUAAUGGUAAGGCAUCCCAUAUCUUAAGACAUUGAUUUGAUUCAGAUAACAAAAAAUGUAUGGAAAAUCAAGAUCAUUUCACUUGCUCAGGGGGUUUAUAGAAUCAACAUUAUCAUGCCGUUGUAGUAAUCGUUUAGUAAAUGUAGUGUAUUUUGUCUAAA